rnacentral:rRNA from 1 species
UGGGGAAUAUUGGACAAUGGGCGAAAGCCUGAUCCAGCAAUGCCGCGUGUGUGAAGAAGGCCUUCGGGUUGUAAAGCACUUUGAUCUGGGAAGAAAAAGCUUCACCUAAUACGUGGAGCCUUGACGGUACCAGAGGAACAAGCACCGGCUAACUCUGUGCCAGCAGCCGCGGUAAUACAGAGGGUGCGAGCGUUAAUCGGAUUUACUGGGCGUAAAGCGUGUGUAGGCGGUUAGUUAAGUCGGGUGUGAAAUCCCUGGGCUCAACCCGGGAAUUGCAUUCGAUACUGGCUAGCUAGAGUACGGUAGAGGGCGGCGGAAUUCCGGGUGUAGCGGUGAAAUGCGUAGAUAUCCGGAGGAACACCGAUGGCGAAGGCAACCGCCUGGGCCUGUACUGACGCUGAGACACGAAAGCGUGGGGAGCAAACAG